CACAUAAGAAUUCAGAUUUGUGAAGUAGGAUUCAUGUUGCCUCUCAGAAUGCUUGAGUGCCUUUGUUUCUUUUCUUUUCUACCCUGUUCUUGAAACAUGUUGGACUAAGGCCUUGAUGAUAACAAAUUGUGUUAACACCAAAAUUUGAAAGUUAAUUUUUUUUUCUCUGGUGUCUAAACCAAAGCUUAAACUAAUAUAGGUAAUCAUUUAUCCCUUAAUAUAGUAACAAAAAUUCUAUGAAGGGGCUCGUGAUGUAUCCAAGUUAAUAUCUAGAGAUUUUGAAGGUCAGCAUAGUGGGGCGUUAGCCGAGCAGAGUAGCUCGAUACUCGACUCGAGAUCGGUUCGAAUAUGAUCCAAAGCUCGAAUUCGAAGUUGAUUCGAGUCGAAUAUGAUCCAUACUCGUUUUCUGUUUAAUGAUACACGAAUCGAAACUACUGAUGACUUGAAUGACUUGUUCCUCGCCUCAGGAUCAUCAACUGAAACUACUGAUGCUUACUCAUAUGCUGGCCGGUCCGGUUAAAUCCAAUGGAAUCCGCCUUAGUCUAUACCUAUACGGGUAGUGCUAUUCGGUUCAAGGUAAGCAGCUGAAGCAACUGCUGGGGGUACCUAUCCAACUCUCUCCGCCGCUGGCAUUCCUUGUUUGAGGCAUAUCGAUUAUAGAAGACAUUUGGGUUCGGACGCGAGCGAAGGGAAGCUAGGUACUAUGGUUCAAUGGGUGAGGAUGCUAGGUUACCUGGUUCUCAAAUCGGGUAUUGAACCCUCUCUCCCUGCAACUCAAUCUGCUUCUAUAUCCUCCUUUUGAGGUCUCGAUCUCGAACUCAAACUAAUGCCUAGCUGCCUGAAUCUCUGCUUUCUUCUACUACCAGCGGGCUAGUUGCUUUAGUUAUGUUAUAUCGAUCCCUUUGGUUGGAGGACGGAUCACGCUACAUACUAGAAAGAUGUUAAUCGCCGCAUUGGAACUACCUACCAUGAACCUUCUACCCCGAAAUCCCAGGGUUCAAGUAUUUUAUUUUUUCUCGAACCAUACUCGAUACCUGUUCGAUGGAUCAUAUUUGAAUACUGAUCUGAUCGAUACUAACAAGCUAAAUAUGUGAUAUUUGUAUCAAUCUUUAUAAUUUAUAAAGUGUAGUAUUAAAUUGUGUAAGCUUGUACUUGAAUAAAUCAGUGAAUUGAUUGUCAAUUAUUAUUACAUUCUUUGUAAUUUCUUUACAUAAAUAAAAGUAAAAGACAUAUAUAAACAUUAGUUCAAUAAUCAAUUUAGUAUGUAGUGGUUCAGUAUUAAGUGAAAUGGUUCAUAUUCGAAACUCGAUUUGAAGGCUCGUGAGUAAUUCGUUUUGUAAACGAGCCGAGUAGGUCCGAGUAAUGAUCCGAGUCGAAUCUGGCACAAAAUUAGAAAUUCCUUAUCGAAUUCGAGUCGAAUUCGAGCUCAAAUUUUUCGAGCCGAGCCGAAUCUGAGCAUUAGAGUGUUCGCUGAGAUUCGAC
rnacentral:lncRNA from 1 species